CUUUCCAGUUCCUGAAGAAAAGGUGAAGCCUUGGCGGGGUCCCUGUGCAACCAUUGCCUACGCCUUCAGUUCCUGUUGUGAAAGAGAAGACACAUUGAAGAGAGGGUGACAUUGCUAUUGUCAAUAAAGCUUGACUUUGAAUGUGAAGUUUGACAAGAGAAAGAGAAGUUGGAUCCUCAUGAGCAACGUCGUAUUCUUCAGUCAGAGCUGUGGAUCCCUGAAGAAGUCUCCAUCCCUUGCAAAAACAAGCUUCUUUGAUGAUGGAUGGGAGUUACGCUUAUCUCUUGCAUGGCACCCUCAACCAGUCAUCCAGGAGAAGGUUUCCAGGUCAGGUCCAGUAACUCCUCCAAGUCCUGUUCCCAGAGUAUGUGAUGUCUUCACCGGUAGGGCUUGCUUUUAGGGCUUCCCAUCUCUUCACUAAUAUGACUUUCACUAUUUUAAGCAUCUUUAAGGAAAUCACUUUGCUUUUUUAUUCUGUUUUGUUCAUAAAGGCAUUUUUAGUGGUGGUAAUCAAACCCAAACUUCCUUCCAUGCUAGGCCAGUUGAUGCUGUCUCUAUUACCAAGCUAAAGAGCAGUUUAAGUCUUUGUCUAGUAGGUCUACAGGAAGGAUCUCGAAGAUGAUUCAGUAGGUCUGCAGAGAAACAAACUCUCAGAGACAAUUUCUGCUAAUGUACUCUUUCCCCCUGACUGACUUAUACCAUCUUAUUUCUUUGUAGCUUUGUGAUUUUUGUUUUAAAAAAAUCUUUUUAAAACAAUCUUAUAUUUGCAUUUAAUAAUGUAGUAUAUCUGGAAAUGAGAUUCUAUUUCCACAGCUUUGCUGGGAUCUCUACCUUGUUGAAAUUGCGGUUUAGGCUAAGCUCUAUCUGUACCAAGGAUUAACCUGAGUUAUAUACUUAAGAUUUCUCAUGAUCUCAAGACUUCUCCAAGUCUGCACCUUUUCCUCAGCCUGAGUAGUGACCUGCUUGUAAUUUUCUUUAUACAUGAAGUUGCUUUUGAGUGUUCAGUGUUAGGAGUCCAAAGGAGGAAAACAGAAAGUGAUAGAGAAGAAAGCAGUGUCCUAUUUGUAGAGAUGUUGGGGUCCACUUGAGAUGGGGAAGGGAGACUUGGAGAAAUGUCAAGGAGCUACAGAAAUCACAGCCACUAACUUCUUGGCACCCCUGUAGUCAGAAACAAUGGUCAGUGAUCAGGCACCAAUACUCAAUAUUUUAGAGCACAGGGUCCUUCCUGAACUUUGUCCUGGGAAAAAUGUGUCCAGGUUGACUUAUGAGGAUAUGUCUACCCGGAGGCUGGAGGCAGAUAAUGACAGAUAAUACAUUAGGAAAUGGACAGGUUCCCACCAAAGCCUUUCCCUGGAUGUCUUCCAAGGAACCUAGAGAGAAAAUAGCUGUAACAGAGAGAUUCUGCAGAAUAAUUAUUGUCUGAGUGGGAAGGCAGGUUCCUGAUGGUUUUUGCUUUGCUGUUACCUCCUAAAUUUAUGUUAUUUUAUGCCACCACAUAUGUGGACUCAAGACCAGAUGAAUAUUGACUGGAACGUAACAGGGGCCACAUGGUUGCUUAUUACAAACAUGAAUUGAAACAUCUUCAAAGGCAAUCAUGUGACCCUGAGCAGUAUCACAAUCUGCACAGCCUUAUCACUGAGGUCUAGCUAAGGAUUGAGCGUCUAUACUUCACCCAGAUCAGUAUGUGGUAUCUAAUCCCCAGAGUGCAGCUGCUUGGGAGCGAGGCUUUUAGGAGUCCAUUAGCUCAUGACAGCACUGGGCUUAGGAGUGGGGUUAGUGAUUUUCUGACAGCAACCCUACAGACAUCCAUUGUCUACUUCUUGCUAUGAGAGGAGAGAAGACACCAUCUGUGA
rnacentral:sRNA from 1 species